rnacentral:rRNA from 1 species
GUAACAAGGUCUCCGUUGGUGAACCAGCGGAGGGAUCAUUACAGAGUUGAAAAACUCCAACCCCUGUGAACCUACCUUUACUGUUGCUUCGGCGGACGAUGGCCCCAGGGCCGGACGCCGCCGGAGGUUACAAACCCUGAAUUUUUAGUGUAUCUCUGAGCACAAAAACAAAUAAUUAAAACUUUCAACAACGGAUCUCUUGGUUCUGGCAUCGAUGAAGAACGCAGCGAAAUGCGAUAAGUAAUGUGAAUUGCAGAAUUCAGUGAAUCAUCGAAUCUUUGAACGCACAUUGCGCCCGCCGGUAUUCCGGCGGGCAUGCCUGUCCGAGCGUCAUUUCACCACUCAAGCCCAGCUUGGUGUUGGGGCACCCGGCCGCCCGGCGGUCGGGGCCCCCAAGAACAUCGGCGGUCUCGCUGGGACCCUGAACGCAGUAACUCGCGGUAAAACGCGCUUCGUUCGGAGGCUUUUCCCGGCGGGCUCCAGCCGUUAAAACCCCCUAAAAUUCUUAGGUUGACCUCGGAUCAGGUAGGAAUACCCGCUGAACUUAAGCAUAUCAA